AAAUGAAUUGACGGGGGCCCGCACAAGCGGUGGAGCAUGUGGUUUAAUUCGACGCAACGCGAAGAACCUUACCAAGGCUUGACAUCCUACGAACCCUUAGGAAACUAGGGGGUGCCCCUUGUGGGAGCGUAGAGACAGGUGGUGCAUGGUUGUCGUCAGCUCGUGUCGUGAGAUGUUGGGUUAAGUCCCGCAACGAGCGCAACCCCUAUAUUUAGUUGCCAUCAGGUAAAGCUGGGCACUCUAGAUAGACUGCCGGUGACAAACCGGAGGAAGGUGGGGAUGACGUCAAAUCAUCAUGCCCCUUAUGUCUUGGGCUACACACGUGCUACAAUGGCCGGUACAGACGGCAGCGAAGCCGCGAGGUGGAGCGAAUCCUAUAAAGCCGGUCUCAGUUCGGAUUGUUCUCUGCAACUCGAGAACAUGAAGUCGGAAUCGCUAGUAAUCGCAGGUCAGCAUACUGCGGUGAAUACGUUCCCGGGCCUUGUACACACCGCCCGU
rnacentral:rRNA from 1 species